GAUGAACGCUGGCGGCGUGCCUAAUACAUGCAAGUCGAGCGAAUGGAUUAAGAGCUUGCUCUUAUGAAGUUAGCGGCGGACGGGUGAGUAACACGUGGGUAACCUGCCCAUAAGACUGGGAUAACUCCGGGAAACCGGGGCUAAUACCGGAUAACAUUUUGAACCGCAUGGUUCGAAAUUGAAAGGCGGCUUCGGCUGUCACUUAUGGAUGGACCCGCGUCGCAUUAGCUAGUUGGUGAGGUAACGGCUCACCAAGGCAACGAUGCGUAGCCGACCUGGGAGGGUGAUCGGCCACACUGGGACUGAGACACGGCCCAGACUCCUACGGGAGGCAGCAGUAGGGAAUCUUCCGCAAUGGACGAAAGUCCGACGGAGCAACGCCGCGUGAGUGAUGAAGGCUUUCGGGUCGUAAAAAUCUGUUGUUAGGGAAGAACAAGUGCUAGUUGAAUAAGCUGGCACCUUGACGGUACCUAACCAGAAAGCCACGGCUAACUACGUGCCAGCCGCCGCGGUAA
rnacentral:rRNA from 1 species